GAUGAACGCUGGCGGCGUGCCUAAUACAUGCCAGUCGAGCGAACAGACGAGGAGCUUGCUCCUCUGACGUUGGCGGCGGACGGGUGAGUAACACGUGGAUAACCUACCUAUAAGACUGGGAUAACUUCGGGAAACCGGAGCUAAUACCGGAUAAUAUAUUGAACCGCAUGGUUCAAUAGUGAAAGACGGUUUUGCUGUCACUUAUAGAUGGAUCCGCGCCGCAUUAGCUAGUUGGUAAGGUAACGGCCUACCAAGGCAACGAUGCGUAGCCGACCUGAGAGGGUGAUCGGCCACACUGGAACUGAGACACGGUCCAGACUCCUACGGGAGGCAGCAGUAGGGAAUCUUCGGCAAUGGGCGAAAGCUUGACGGAGCCACGCCGCGUGAGUGAAGAAGGUCUUCGGAUCGUAAAGCUCUUUUAUUAGGGAAGAACAAAUGUGGAAGAAUCUAUGCCCGUCUUGACGGUACCUAAUGAGUAAGCCCCGGCUAACUACGUG
rnacentral:rRNA from 1 species